AUUGAACGCUGGCGGCAGGCCUAACACAUGCAAGUCGAACGAGUGGCGGACGGGGGAGUAAUGUCUGGGAAACUGCCUGAUGGAGGGGGAUAACUAAUGGAAACGGUAGCUAAUACCGCAUACCAUCAGAUGUGCCCAGAUGGGAUUUGCUUGUGGGUGGGGUAACGGCUCACAAAGGCGACAAUCCCUAGCUGGUCUGAGAGGAUGACCACCCACACUGAAACUGAGACACGGUCCAGACUCCUAGGGGAGGUAGCAUGGGGGAAUAUUGCACAAUGGGGGCAAGCCUGAUGCAGCCAUGCCGCGUGUAUGAAGAAGGCAUUCGGGUUGUAAAGUACUUUCAGCGGGGAGGCGUUACCCGCAGAAGAAGCACCGGCUAACUCCGUGCCAGCAGCCGCGGUAAUAC
rnacentral:rRNA from 1 species